rnacentral:sRNA from 1 species
CUCUCUCUCUUCUCUCUCA